rnacentral:lncRNA from 1 species
ACUUUUGCUUAUAUAUGGUCAUGUUUUUGUGAGCUACUAUAAUUUUAGUCUGGUCCUUUUAUGAAAACUUUGGUGUAAUUAAUAUAGAGGAGUAUAGUGUUUUUGAGAGAUGUGUAGCUAUUUGUGUUAUUGAAUUGCAGUGUAGUAUAGAAUUGCAUUAAAGGCUUAGCACAGCUAGCGUUCUGAACGUGCCUGCAAAAAUUUGGCUCUGGUCCUUGUUUGAUUUAGAGUCCACAAGGUCCUAACAGCUUCGUAAAAGAGAAAUUGUCUUUUAAUCUAUUUUUAUUUUGAUCAGUCGAUUUUACUGAGCUAAAUGGGGACAAGGAGAUUGCUUAGAAAGAAAUUAACUAGUAGUUGAUGUUCAAAGCCUCCAGUAAAUCAAGCCAGGCAUGUAUACAUAGAAAAAUUUAUCCUUUACUCCUAAAAUUUACCAGAAAUUCCAAGUAGCAUUUACCGCACCAUCAAAAGUCCAUGGCGAUUUCUUUCCCUCCAGAUUGAUCAAAGCACAUGGAAAGGUGCUAUAUGGCACCUCUUUCUUCUAUCUCUCCUAAGAUGAAUAUUCCAACUAUCCAAAUAACAUCUGCUGGAGCAACCCUUUGUACUUUAAAAAGAGACAAAAUGAGUCAUCAGCAUACAGAAGUCUUAUGGCAGUGAAUUAAUAGAUGAGUUCUCUACCUCUUCAGACUAGCACAUGAAGCGCCAACAAACUCAUGGUAUAUUCCUUCCUCAAAUUGUAACCCAUAAGGAUUGCAUUUUGAGCAAUGCGCCUAGCAAAAAGCCCAUUAGGUACUAUUGAGCAGCAAAUAACUUUAGAAUAUCUCCUAAAAACCCUGGGUUCAGAAUAUAUUUGCUAUUUCUACUGAGUCGCUUUCCAUGGAAAAAGAACCAAGGAAAUUCUAACCAGACACGAGCAUUAGCUAUUUAUCUUUUCAGGAAGUUUGGAACAGGUGCGAAGUAGGGUAAUGAAAGAAGUGGUUCUGACAAUUGUAUACUCGUUGCUUGUUGAAGAGUAGUCACACAAUAAAAUUUUGUUAGAUAUGUUUAACGAUAUGUUUUUUGUUGUUUUUACUAUCUUGAAUAUGGUUAUCUAACUGGUUGAUAACUUUUGCCACAUUGUAUGAGUACUGUGGUCUCUAUUGUUAUGUGAUUAAUAAAGUAAAGAGUAGACCAAAUCCAUAUCUACUCUAAAAGAUUGAGUCUCUGAAGAGAACUUUGUUGUAGCAAAGAUAGUUAUUGGUUGUGCCCCGUACCCUUCCCUGGUCAUCCCCCAAAAGAAAUAACAGAAUUAUGAACAAUCAAAAAAAGAAAAGAAAAAGAAAUAACAGAAUUAUACCGGAAAAGCUUUAAAAGGUUCAAUUAUUUCCAGAGAAACGUCCUUGCCUCAGAAAAGAAGAGAGUUAUUCAGACUACGCGUGUGUUUGGUAUGGAGGAAAAUGUUUUCAGGAAAAGGAAUAGUUUUGUCACUUAUUUAACCAUGUUUGGUUGGUGAGUG